rnacentral:rRNA from 1 species
UGGGGAAUAUUGCACAAUGGGCGCAAGCCUGAUGCAGCAACGCCGCGUGAGGGAAGACGGUCUUCGGAUUGUAAACCUUUGUCUUUGGUGAAGAAGAAAGUGACGGUAGCCAAGGAGGAAGCCACGGCUAACUACGUGCCAGCAGCCGCGGUAAUACGUAGGUGGCAAGCGUUGUCCGGAAUUACUGGGUGUAAAGGGAGCGCAGGCGGGAAGGUAAGUCUAUCUUAAAAGUGCGGGGCUCAACCCCGUGAGGGGAUGGAAACUAUCUUUCUUGAGUGCAGGAGAGGAAAGCGGAAUUCCUAGUGUAGCGGUGAAAUGCGUAGAUAUUAGGAGGAACACCAGUGGCGAAGGCGGCUUUCUGGACUGUAACUGACGCUGAGGCUCGAAAGCGU